CCUACGGGAGGCAGCAGUGGGGAAUCUUGCGCAAUGGGCGAAAGCCUGACGCAGCCAUGCCGCGUGAAUGAUGAAGGUCUUAGGAUUGUAAAAUUCUUUCACCGGGGACGAUAAUGACGGUACCCGGAGAAGAAGCCCCGGCUAACUUCGUGCCAGCAGCCGCGGUAAUACGAAGGGGGCUAGCGUUGCUCGGAAUUACUGGGCGUAAAGGGAGCGUAGGCGGACUGUUUAGUCAGAGGUGAAAGCCCAGGGCUCAACCUUGGAAUUGCCUUUGAUACUGGCAGUCUUGAGUACGGAAGAGGUAUGUGGAACUCCGAGUGUAGAGGUGAAAUUCGUAGAUAUUCGGAAGAACACCAGUGGCGAAGGCGACAUACUGGUCCGUUACUGACGCUGAGGCUCGAAAGCGUGGGGAGCAAACAGGAUUAGAUACCCUGGUAGUCCACGCCGUAAACGAUGAGUGCUAGUUGUCGGCAUGCAUGCAUGUCGGUGACGCAGCUAACGCAUUAAGCACUCCGCCUGGGGAGUACGGUCGCAAGAUUAAAACUCAAAGGAAUUGACGGU
rnacentral:rRNA from 1 species